rnacentral:rRNA from 1 species
AUUGAACGCUGGCGGCAUGCCUUACACAUGCAAGUCGAACGGCAGCACGGGAGCAAUCCUGGUGGCGAGUGGCGAACGGGUGAGUAAAGUAUCGGAACGUGCCCAGUCGUGGGGGAUCACGUAGCGAAAGUUACGCUAAUACCGCAUACGAUCUAUGGAUGAAAGCGGGGGAUCGCAAGACCUCGCGCGAUUGGAGCGGCCGAUAUCAGAUUAGGUAGUUGGUGGGGUAAAGGCUCACCAAGCCGACGAUCUGUAGCUGGUCUGAGAGGACGACCAGCCACACUGGGACUGAGACACGGCCCAGACUCCUACGGGAGGCAGCAGUGGGGAAUUUUGGACAAUGGGCGCAAGCCUGAUCCAGCCAUGCCGCGUGCAGGAUGAAGGCCCUCGGGUUGUAAACUGCUUUUGUACGGAACGAAAAGGUUUGGCUUAAUACGUUGAACUCAUGACGGUACCGUAAGAAUAAGCACCGGCUAACUACGUGCCAGCAGCCGCCGUAA